rnacentral:tRNA from 1 species
UGGGGUUGUGGCUCAGGAGUAGAGUGCUUGCCUCUCAUGCGUGAGGCACUGGGUUCGAUCCCCAGCACCACAA